GAUGAACGCUGGCGGCGUGCCUAAUACAUGCAAGUCGAGCGAACAGACGAGGAGCUUGCUCCUCUGACGUUAGCGGCGGACGGGUGAGUAACACGUGGAUAACCUACCUAUAAGACUGGGAUAACUUCGGGAAACCGGAGCUAAUACCGGAUAAUAUAUUGAACCGCAUGGUUCAAUAGUGAAAGACGGUUUUGCUGUCACUUAUAGAUGGAUCCGCGCCGCAUUAGCUAGUUGGUAAGGUAACGGCUUACCAAGGCAACGAUGCGUAGCCGACCUGAGAGGGUGAUAGGCCACACUGGAACUGAGACACGGUCCAGACUCCUACGGGAGGCAGCAGUAGGGAAUCUUCCGCAAUAGGCGGAAGCAUGACGGAGCAACGCCGCGUGAGUGAUGAAGAUCUUCGGAUCGUAAAACUCUGUUAUUAGGGGAGAACAAAUGUGUAAGUAACUAUGCACGUCUUGACGGUACCUAAUCAGAAAGCCACGGCUAACUACGUG
rnacentral:rRNA from 1 species